UACGGAGGGUGCAAGCGUUAUCCGGAUUCACUGGGUUUAAAGGGUGCGUAGGAGGGCAGGUAAGUCAGUGGUGAAAUCCCCGAGCUUAACUUGGGAACUGCCGUUGAUACUAUCUGUCUUGAAUGUUGUGGAGGUGAGCGGAAUAUGUCAUGUAGCGGUGAAAUGCUUAGAUAUGACAUAGAACACCAAUUGCGAAGGCAGCUCGCUACACAAUUAUUGACUCUGAUGCACGAAAGCGUGGGGAUCAAACAGG
rnacentral:rRNA from 1 species